CGGAUCAUAAAUAUUAACCGUUGGAUACAUGUCUAAAACAAAAUAAACCGUUAGAUCGUCUCCUACCCUAUUACCUUCUCCCAUCUCUCCUCCAAACUGCCAAACCUAAAAAUUCUAUUCAUGCGCUGCUCCUUCCAUUUCUCUGUGCUGAUCCUUUCCUAUCUCUUCUACUUCCAUUCAUUCAAAACCCUUUUCAUCCAGAUUCUCAAUUCUCCUUCAACUCAAUCUUCCUUUUUUUUUCCCCUUCCAAAAUUACAUUUUUCUUAGUAUACAAAUCAACCCUUCUUCCUAAAUCCUACAUGUAACAUGGCCUUGAAAACUUGAAAUAUACAAAGUAAUACUCUACCACCCUCCUCUAGAUGUAGCGAAAAACGAAGAACUGGGAUUAAUUAAUUGUUGUAAUUUUGUCGUGCGCAAAAACAACACCACGAAGAAAGAGAGCAUUUCGUUCGUCCGUUCAUCAGCGGUGGUUCCUCGGUUCCUCGGUUCGUUCGUUCUUUUAUGGUGGUGGUGGUUCCUUGUGUCGGUCGUUUGAAGGUUUAGAUUAAUUUUAUUUUUUUUAGUUUUUCGUUUUAGAUAUUUACUUCAUGAAUGUUCAUGGUUAAUUUUCUUUUUUUCUUUCUCUUUACUCUUCUUUUCUUCUUUUAGUAUAAUUAAGUUUUCCAGAUUUGAAUAAUAUUGAUGAAGAAGGAAUAAAUGGAAUUAGUUGAGUGAUUGUAACUUUUGUCUUCAGUAUCCAGAAGUUUGGGAAGUUUGAAGUUUUGGGAAGUUUGAAGUUUGGUGACGCUGAAAUAACCAAAUCAAUGUACAGAUUUAAGAGUUAAAGUGUUAUUAUUUUUUAUUGUAAUUAUUUUUUUGUAACUUUUAGAUCUAAUUUAUCAUUUUCUGUAAUGAGCGAAUGUAAUUACUAAGGAUUUUGAUUUUAGAUCUACCCAUGUUUAACUGAAAAUUUUGAAUUUGA